rnacentral:rRNA from 1 species
UACGUAGGGGGCUAGCGUUGUCCGGAAUCAUUGGGCGUAAAGCGCGUGUAGGCGGCUUGACAAGUCUGCUGUGAAAGUCCAGGGCUCAACCCUGGAAUGCCGGUGGAAACUGUCAAGCUAGAGUCCGGAAGAGGCGAGUGGAAUUCCUGGUGUAGCGGUGAAAUGCGCAGAUAUCAGGAGGAACACCAAUGGCGAAGGCAGCUCGCUGGGACGGUACUGACCCUGAGACGCGAAAGCGUGGGGAGCAAACAGG